CUCGUAGGCGGUGUGUCGCGUCGGCCGUGAAAACCUGCAGCUUAACUGUGGGCUUGCGGUCGAUACGGGCAUCACUUGAGUUCGGCAGGGGAGACUGGAAUUCCUGGUGUAGCGGUGAAAUGCGCAGAUAUCAGGAGGAACACCGGUGGCGAAGGCGGGUCUCUGGGCCGAUACUGACGCUGAGGAGCGAAAGCGUGGGGAGCGAACA
rnacentral:rRNA from 1 species